rnacentral:rRNA from 1 species
AGUGAAUAGAUACCCAGGUAGUCCACGCCGUAAACGAUGAGAACUAGAUGUUAGGGGGCGUUAGACCUCUUAGUAUCGCAGCAAACGACGUUAAGUUCUCCGCCUGGGGAGGUACGGCCGCAAGGUUAAAACUACAAAUGAAUUGACGGGGGCCCGGCACAAGCGGUGGAGCAUGUGGUUUAAAUUCGAUGCAACGACGAAGAACCUUACCUACCUUUGAAUCCACGGAAUCUUGCAGAAAUGUGAGAGUGCCUUCGGGUAACCGGUGAGACAGGUGCUGCAUGGCUGUCGUCAGCUCGUGUCGUGAGAUGUUGGGUUAAGUCCCGUAACGAGCGCAACCCUUGUCCUUAGUUACCAGCGAGUUAUGUCGGGGACUUUAAGGUAGACUGCCGGUGAUAAACCGGAGGAAGGUGGGGAUGACGUCAAGUCCUCAUGGCCCGUUACA